UACGGAGGGUGCAAGCGUUGUUCGGAUUUACUGGGCGUAAAGCGCGCGCAGGUGGGUGUGCAAGUCGGAAGUGAAAUCUCGAGGCUCAACCUCGAGGCUGCUCCCGAAACUGCUCGCCUAGGGACUGGUAGAGGCUGGUAGAAUUCCCGGUGUAGCGGUGGAAUGCGUAGAGAUCGGGGAGGAACACCAGUGGGCGAAGGCGAUCACCUGGGGUUGUUCUGACGCUGAGGAGCGAAAAGCUAGGGGAGCAAACGGG
rnacentral:rRNA from 1 species